rnacentral:rRNA from 1 species
UUAGUCUUUUAAUUGAAGACUGGAAUGAAAGAGUAAACCAGGAAAAAUUUUUUUAAAUAAAUAAAAUGAAUUUUACUUUUUAGUAAGAAGGCUAAAAUAAACCUUUUAGACAAGAAGACCCUAUAAAACUUUAUAUUUAUUUUUUCAUAAUUGGAAAGUUAAAUAUUUUGCUGGGGCGGUAAGAAAAGAGACUUUUCUUGAAUUAAUAAGACUUUCAAGUUUUAAUAUCUAGAAGUUCUGAAAAAGAAAUAAGUUACUUUAGGGAUAACAGCUUAAUUUAUUUUAAAAGAUCAAAUUGACAAAUAAGUUUAUGACCUCGAUGUUGAAUUAAAAUUCCCUUUUUGUGUAAAA